rnacentral:rRNA from 1 species
UACAGAGGGGGCAAGCGUUGUUCGGAAUUACUGGGCGUAAAGGGCGCGUAGGCGGCCUUCUAAGUCGAACGUGAAAUCCCCGGGCUCAACCCGGGAACUGCGUCCGAUACUGGAAGGCUUGAAUCCGGGAGAGGGAUGCGGAAUUCCAGGUGUAGCAGUGAAAUGCGUAGAUAUCUGGAGGAACACCGGUGGCGAAGGCGGCAUCCUGGACCGGCAUUGACGCUGAGGCGCGAAAGCCAGGGGAGCAAACGGG